UACUAAUGCAACUGCGAAUAGCUGUUUAAUACAGUCGUAAUUGUAUUGACUUAUAUAAAUAUUAAUAGUUAUUUAUUUGGAUAACUAAGGGAAAGUUUGGCUAAUACGUUUAAAAUAUAAUAAUACAUUAUGCACAUAAUAAUAUUUAUAUAUGAUAAAUAUUAUGUAAAUAAAAAAUACUUUUAGUAUUUUUAAUAGAGCAGACUUUAUAAUAUUUUAAUUAUUAUAAAGCAUGUCAAACAAGCAUCUAUAGCAUCAAGUCACAAUGUUGGCAUGUGUAUUAUUGAACCUUCAAAGCAUUUACGCAUUCGGAGGAGUAGUUUCUGAUCCCGUCGAAGGUGCCUGAGAGACGGCACUUAGUUCUAAGGAACGCAGCAGGCGCGUAAAUUGCCCAAUGACAAAACAUGUUAGUUUAAUUUGAACUCAAUAUAUAAUAUUUUUAUUGAGGCAGUGACAAGCUGUAAAGAUUGAAUAUAUUAAUUAAGAUAACAUUUGGAAUUGUCGUUUUAUAAUAUUUUUAAUAUUAUAUUACUUGAUAAUAUACCAAUGUUAUAAAAUAUUCAAUUUGAAUGCGGUGAAUAUAAUAAUUUCAAGUAACAUGUAUAAAAUAUUUAUAUUUUAUUAGUUAUCUGAAUUUUCAAGUGGAGGGCAAGUCUGGUGCCAGCAGCCGCGGUAAUACCAGCUCCACUAGCUUAUACAAUCAUUGUUGCGGUUAAGAGGCUCGUAGUUGGAUUGAAUACAUUUUUACAAUACUGUGAACAAACCAGAGUGUAUAAAACAUGUAAUAUAUUAUAUAUUUAGCAAUGAAUGUUUUAUCAUGGAAUAUUGCUUUUUAAUAUAAUAUCGAUGGAGAUAGUUGGAGUUAAGAGUACUGAUAGGCGAGCGGUGAAAUGCAUUGACCCUAUUAAGACUAACAAAAGCGAAAGCACUUAACUAGAUUAUUCUCUUUGUAUUAUUACAAUGAAGAGCGAAGGUUGGGGGAACAAAGAGGAUCAGAUACCCUCGUAGUCCUAUUUUUACAUCAAACUAUGGGAUUUCAAUUACUACCUCUUUUAUAAACAUUUAAUCAUUUAUUAUAUAUAAUUGAGUACUUAAUUGUUUACUCUUAUAUUUAAUAUUAUUAUUUUUAUUAUUGAUUAUAUGUACUUUGAGCUCAUAUAAUUAUAUAGGUGAGAUGUAAGCAUUAUAGGUGAAUAAUAUAUAAGUAAUAUUAUAUUAUUAUGAUCCUUAUUUAUAAAAAUGUAAUGUGAUGCACGUUUUAGGUACGAGCUUACUAUAGAAAUAUUUAAAAUAAUACCCUCCUGGGGUAGUAUGCACGCAAGUGUGAAACUUGAAGGAAUUGACGGAAGGGCACCACAAGAACGCGUGGAGCAUGUGGCUUAAUUUGACUCAACCCGGGAAAUCUUACCAGGUCCAGACAUAUUGAGGAUUGACAGGCGAUAGUAUAUAAAAUAUAUUUUUAUAUGCAUAAAAAUGAUAGUCCUUUCAUGAUUAUAUGAUAGGUGGUGCAUGGCCGUUCUUAGUUCGUGGAGUGAUUUGUCUGCUUAAUUGCGUUUCAGUAAAUAAAAUAUAUAAUAUAUUAUAAUAUUUAGUUCUGCCAUUUAUUUAUGGAUUUAAAGUGAACAUAUUAUAUAUAUUAUUAUAUAAUAAAUGAAUGC
rnacentral:rRNA from 1 species